AACGAACGCUGGCGGCAGGCUUAACACAUGCAAGUCGAACGCCCCGCAAGGGGAGUGGCAGACGGGUGAGUAACGCGUGGGAAUCUACCUAGUUCUACGGAACAACUGAGGGAAACUUCAGCUAAUACCGUAUACGCCCUACGGGGGAAAGAUUUAUCGGAAUUAGAUGAGCCCGCGUUGGAUUAGCUAGUUGGUGAGGUAACGGCUCACCAAGGCGACGAUCCAUAGCUGGUCUGAGAGGAUGACCAGCCACCCUGGGACUGAGACACGGACCAGACUCCUACGGGAGGCAGCAGUGGGGAAUAUUGGACAAUGGGCGCAAGCCUGAUCCGGCCAUGCCGCGUGAGUGAUGAAGGCCUUAGGGUUGUAAAAUUCUUUUACCAGGGACGACAAUGACGGUACCUGGAGAAAAAGCCCCGGCUAACUUCGUGCCAGCCGCCGCCGUAACAC
rnacentral:rRNA from 1 species